UAUGAAAUCAAAUACAACGAAGCGUAUAAAAAAGGAAAGAUGCUGCGAGGUCGGCGCUCCGCUCGUAGUCGGGUCGUGGCAUUCUCUGCCUCUGUCCGAAAGGGAAAAUAUCUGCGUUCUUUAUUGCUUGUUGCCAACGGUUCCGAUUCGGAUGCUAAUUUGGUGCGAAUUAAUUCUAUUAUUGAUGUUGCCCAACAAUUCAUCUUCUUGGAUUGUCAAGCAUUUGUCGUCGCCCGAAGAAUGAGAAUGAUUGUCGGUUGUUUUUUUGUGAGGCUGGCACUGUCAUCGGCACAUCGUGGGCCUUAUAAAAGGUGAUGUUAUGGCUGACUUCUGGGCUUCGUCUUGUUUGCCAGUCCAUUUCCAAGAAUGAUUAUUGAUUAAUGCCUGCCUGAGAGUGGAUUGAGAACCCUUCUUGUUCCGCUUCCGUAAAUUCGAGUUUCUGCUGGCCAAUCUGAAGAAAAUUCGCGAAGAAGAAGAAGGGAAAUUCUUUGAAAAAGUGACAAAGAAGUUAAACCUAUCUGUCAUGCGGAAACGAAAAUGGGAUUUCUAUUGUCCAACCAAUUCAUCAUCUCUAUUACUGCUGAAUGUAGGAGGAGGGGCUGAGUGCAGGCCCACGCGGUGAGUCGAGGUUUUUGCCCUUAUGAACAGAUUUUUGACACCAUGCUUCAUGAGCUUCGUCACAACGAAUUUGAUCUUCAAAGUACUGAUUUUUACAACCUUAACAUAUUGAUGAAUUACGAUGUGAUAGAUAAUCAAUCAUGGUUUCAAGCAUCAAAGCGGGAUUCAAACUGCAUCUUUAUUUUUAAACCUUAAUGUUGUCAGUUAGUGGCAUGAAAAUGUUCAAUAUGACUGUCAGCAUUUGCCCAUAUUGUGAAAACAGCAACUGUUUCUUUCUGGGGCUUGCAUGGGCAAGGGCGGAAGAGGCAUUCGCUUAAGGCCUGCUGCAAAUAAAGGGCUCAUGUACAUAUAUUAUACAUGUGUGUAUGAAUAUAAUAAUAGUGUAAUUAUGAAUCUUUUAAUAUUGUUAGUAAGAACAAACUCAGGUCCUACAUAGUAAAAAUAAAGAAAAAAAUCUUUGGUUAUAAGUUGGCACCUAUAUUCCCACAGUAUGAGGCCUUCUGGGUAAGUUAAAAAAAUUAAGAGAUUUGUGUCUUGCCUUUUCUCGUUUGCAUUGAGUAGGGUUCUCCAAAUUUUGGCCGUGAAGACCUCUCUAUGGUGAGAGAAUUGAGAGAAGGUUUUUUCUUAGGAUAUUUAUAUAUCUCUGAGAAGUUUUUCUGUGCUUUUCAAGUUUAAAUGAGUGUUGGUGAAACGAUCCAUCCAGCCCUGGGACAAUCAUAGGUUAGUAUGCCUAUUUUUAAUUAGACAAUAGCUUUGCAUUGUUGUUGUGGUUCUUCCGAAACAAUAUCAGUUUCAGUGCAUUAGGUAUUAGCUAAGGUUUUGGGCAGAUGUUUGUAGUGUUUUUGUAUACUUGGUGAAGUUACAAUGAAUAUGGUUGAAUUGAGAUUCUCUAAAUAUGGGUCAUAGAUUGAGCUGGAAAAAUAAGUUUCUCAUUUUGUAUUUUCAUUCUCUGUUCGUAUUAUUGUUGUUACAAAAAUUAUUUAUGCCAUAAAUUUUCCUUUUUGUCUAUCAACGGUUGAAUUGUUCCACUGGUUGCUCCCAACAACAUAGCAAUGAGGUCAGUUGGGUGUCAAUAUAUUUGCACAUACUAUAAUAAUGUUAUUGAAAGAAAAGAGAAUGGAAUUCUCUUCUCCCUUAUGAGGAACUCAUAUCUCUUUUUUAUACUUGACCUUUUAUGGAUGCUUUUGCUCAUAACUUAAGUUUCAUUCUUCAUCCUACACAGAUGGAUAUUACGUUGCAGCUGUUCACUUGUAGGCGAUACAACUAGAAUGUAAAAUGGAAGUACUAGAAAUCAAAAUGAACACACACACACACGAAAGAUGAGAGUUUGGUGACUGGUUCAGCUUUGGCCUCGUAACAUAAUAUAAUGAAGCCGACGAUGAGCUCUGACAUAGAUCCAUCUUGUAUAGAGGAUUGGUUUUGUUUGGAAAUGGAAGCUAUCAUGUCAGCUAGUUUGGAGGACCAUUCAAUCUUUGUUACUUCACUUUGUUGCUCUGUAGAAUAGGAGUUGAAGGACAUUCCAAUAUUGAAAGCAAGCUAUAAGCUGCUGCAGCUAUGCAGAGACAAGUGAUCAAUGACUGAUGAGCAAAUGUGUUUUCUUGCCUUGUUUGUGCCUUUUCACACUAUUCAUUUAUUUGUUUGUUUAUCUACAGUUGCUUGCUGUCUAUCAGUGCUUGUAGUCUGUGUGUAUGUGUUGGUGGCCUUGUAAUUGCACCAGUGCUGCAAAAUGGCUUUUCAAACUGGAAUGUUCUGUUUUUAGA